UCUUUUUCCACCGGAGACUUGCUCCACCGGAAAAAGANGAGUGGCGAACGGGUGAGUAACACGUGGGUAACCUGCCCAUCAGAAGGGGAUAACACUUGGAAACAGGUGCUAAUACCGUAUAACAAUCNAAACCGCAUGGUUUUGAUUUGAAAGGCGCUUUCGGGUGUCGCUGAUGGAUGGACCCGCGGUGCAUUAGCUAGUUGGUGAGGUAACGGCUCACCAAGGCCACGAUGCAUAGCCGACCUGAGAGGGUGAUCGGCCACAUUGGGACUGAGACACGGCCCAAACUCCUACGGGAGGCAGCAGUAGGGAAUCUUCGGCAAUGGACGAAAGUCUGACCGAGCAACGCCGCGUGAGUGAAGAAGGUUUUCGGAUCGUAAAACUCUGUUGUUAGAGAAGAACAAGGAUGAGAGUAACUGUUCAUCCCUUGACGGUAUCUAACCAGAAAGCCACGGCUAACUACGUGCCAGCAGCCGCGGUAAUACGUAGGUGGCAAGCGUUGUCCGGAUUUAUUGGGCGUAAAGCGAGCGCAGGCGGUUUCUUAAGUCUGAUGUGAAAGCCCCCGGCUCAACCGGGGAGGGUCAUUGGAAACUGGGAGACUUGAGUGCAGAAGAGGAGAGUGGAAUUCCAUGUGUAGCGGUGAAAUGCGUAGAUAUAUGGAGGAACACCAGUGGCGAAGGCGGCUCUCUGGUCUGUAACUGACGCUGAGGCUCGAAAGCGUGGGGAGCAAACAGGAUUAGAUACCCUGGUAGUCCACGCCGUAAACGAUGAGUGCUAAGUGUUGGAGGGUUUCCGCCCUUCAGUGCUGCAGCUAACGCAUUAAGCACUCCGCCUGGGG
rnacentral:rRNA from 1 species